rnacentral:lncRNA from 10 species
UUGAUGAAGAUCUUAGGAAGUAGGGAAACAAAAAAUAUCUAUGUGGCUGACAUAUGGGAAAUCAUAUGAAAAAUAUGAAUUUCCUUUUCCCAAAAAAGUUGUCAAUAGAGGACAGGUCAAAUUUCUUUAGUUAGCUCACUCUUAUUGAUCAUAUAACAUGUACCCGGGACUGUACUAGACACUUAAUUUAAUUCUUAGAACACUAUGAGUGAGGUAAAACUAUUGCUUCCAUUUUUCAGAACAGAAAAUUGAGGCAACAACAUCAAGCAGCUACUUACUCUGAGGGAGGUCUGAAUGCCAUAUUGUGAGCGGCCCUGCUGAAAGACCCAUGUGGCAAGGAUCUGAGAUCAUUGGCCAACAGGCUGCAAAGAGUCCUACCAACAGCCAGGCUGGUGUUCUUGGAAGUGGAUCUUCUCCUACUCUCCUACUUGAGAUGACUGCAGCCCCAGCUAACACUUCGAUUGCAGCCUUGUUAAGAUAUCACGGGCCAGACACACCCAGCUAAGUUAUGCCUGAGUUACUAGCCCACAGAAAUGAUAAGAUAAUAAAUAUUUGCUGUUUUAAGCUGCUAAGUUUUGGGUUAAUUUGUUAUACAACAAUGGAUAACUAAUACAAGUGCAGUCAUUGAUCUCAUUGAACACACCCGUAAUUCUUUGGAAAAAUGUCUACUUUCUCACCAAACUAAAAUCCAUUAAUUCCAGUAGUUAGGUGUUUGGCAAUGCCUUUAAAACGAUGCAUAGAAGUACAUGGCCAGGUCUUUAAAAUUGCGUUGCUAGACUGAAGAAGAGCUGUCUGACUUACUGGGCUUCCCACGUUCCUGCCUUCAGUUCCUGGGUUAGUGUCACAGGUUGCGGAUUUUCCACUCCAUCUCCCAGUCAUGUCUCUGGCACUUCCCCCGCUUGGCUCCUAGUAAUCAACUUUGGCUGACCUCUAACUCUCCACCUCCUGGACCACAAAAUAAACCCAAUGCUCUGAUCAUAGCUCCUCUGCAACUAUGUUUACUCCUUGGUUUGGGAUCUGCCCAGACUCUCAUUACGCCUGCCAUAGCAUUAUCCCUCUGUCCUGUACCUACGGAUGAAGCAAACCAUUGAUUUCUCCAACUAUGCUAAGUAAGAGCAAGUCAUAUUGCAGUGUGAAUCCCUGGAAGGCAAGAUCGCCAUUCUGGUCUCUUGUGGAUAUCAAUGCUGAUCUCAGCUUCUGAUGCACGGCAGUCAAUUAAUAAAUGAUUGUUGCCUGAAAAACUGAGCCCCAAAACAAUAUUACAAGUUUAAUAUCAGUAAAGGAUUUAAUGCUUUCUAACAUGAAGAUACCAGAAGUUGCUGAUUUUUGUAUAACCCAGAGAUGGAUUUAAAUGCAGAGUGUAUGAACUUCUUCAUUCCUGAGGGAGGACUUAUGAUUUCAUGAGAAAUGCCCUAGGAAAGGGGCCGGGGAGACUGAUGGAGAAGAAGAGUUUGGGAGGGAAGCCCCAAGGACCAUCUGCCCCAUCAGAGUCACAUGCAGAGGGUCCUGCUCCUGCCGUUGGAAGUUGGCUUCCUGAGCUGCUGAACGUGCCAGUCCUGCUGACCCACUCUCAGAUAUCACAGGCACCCGCUGUGUCUGACAGAGACCUUUCUGCAAGUACACGUGCAGGUCUGCUCUGCAAAGGCGUUAUCAUCUGCAGAUUAUUGCACAGAGUGGCUACGAGCUGUGGUGUGAUCCUGUCACAGAGAGAGCCUGGUCACGUUUUCAGAACAGCAGGAAACAGGACAUUUUGAAACAUGUUUUCAGUGGUGAAAAGGACGUCUGCAAGAGGAACUGAAAGAGAAAUAAACAGUCACUGGAAACACACGCUGAAGGCGGGGAUUGGGGCACAUAUUAAUAAAAUAGCUUGAGUAAAAUUGGAUAAUGCACAAGAACAGCAAAACAGAACAAAACAAAACCCAACAACGAUGAGGAAUUCAUCAGUGAAGGGCUCGCGGAAUGUUCUGAGAAUAAUUCUUCCUUGCUAAUGCCCUCCAGUUUGCAUUAAGAUGCCCAGCAGUUCACCCUCCAGUCUGAGCCAGGCCAGCUACACAGGCUGAAAGUUUCUUAGGCCCUCGAUGACGAUCCUGGACAGGCACCCUGAACACAGCCUCCCCGGUACAUUCUUAGUGCACUCACAGAAUCUGCUGCUUCCCAGGUCUUUUGGAUGUGAAAUGAAACCCCAAGGACUGCUUUAACAAGGGGCAAAAACACAUGCAACCAAAGCCAGCAGUUAUGCCGAAGCAUCCCGGAUUCCCAUGAGAAACUCUCUGGAUCUAGUUCCUCUACGUCACAUGAGUGUGCAAACAGGAGACUACAAGAGUUUAAAAAUACUGGGACUGCUGGAGAUUUCCCUGGCCAUAUAUAGUUCACUUGUUUCACAGUAAGUUCAAAAGAGACAAAGGGAGAGGGAGGGAAAGAAAGAAGGCAACGGGCACUCAGCUUGAGUGAGUAGGGAACCUGAUUACAAUACUGUGCCACCUUCCUUCUCCCCCCAGCUCCGCCCCGGCACUCUCACCCCCAG